rnacentral:pre_miRNA from 1 species
GGCCGAGCGUUGUAUGGAAGACUAGUGAUUUUGUUGUUUGUAUGAAUUAACAAGGAAUCACUAAUCUCCCUACAAAGCGACGGUA